rnacentral:tRNA from 1 species
UAUAUAUAAAUGUAAGAUGCAUAUAGAAUUUUGAUUUCUAAAGAUUUAGUUUGAUUCUAAAAUAUAUAA